CCCCUAGACGUUCUGGGCCGCACGCGCGCUACACUGACGAAGGCAACGAGCUUUCCUUUACCGAAAGGUACGGGUAAUCUUUUGAAACUUCGUCGUGCUGGGGAUAGAUCCUUGCAAUUUUUGAUCUUAAACGAGGAAUGCCUAGUAAGCGCAAGUCAUCAACUUGCGUUGAUUACGUCCCUGCCCUUUGUACACACCGCCCGUCGCUACUACCGAUUGAAUGGUUUAGUGAGGCCUUCGGAUCCGCGACUCGUUUUGUGGAGAAGUUGGACAAACUCAGUCAUUUAGAGGAAGUAAAAGUCGUAACA
rnacentral:rRNA from 1 species